UGGUUUCCUUGAUGACCCCAACCAGAUUUUCCCAGACCAGAUGGGUCCAGGUCUCAGAAGGAAGAUGUAAUCAGUAUCAAGUUUCCCUGAGGAGCAGGUUGUCCGACUUUCCCGUGCAGCCUCUAGACUCCGUGCCUUUCCUACCCUGCCCAGCAGGUGGUGCUUGUCAGCCCGCAGCUUCCCACCAGCGUAAAGAGGUGAGGCAUGAUUCCCAGGGAAGUGAGUCUCCCUGGUGACGUGGAAUAUGACUCCCAGGAAUGAGCCUGGCCCUGACAUUGAGGGAUUGAAAAUGCCUUCUUGAUCAAAAGAAGAAAAAGAAAGCUAAGCCAACUUGGCAGGUGAAAUCAC